rnacentral:rRNA from 1 species
GACGAACGCUGGCGGCGUGCUUAACACAUGCAAGUCGAACGCUGAAGCUUGGUGCUUGCACUGGGUGGAUGAGUGGCGAACGGGUGAGUAAUACGUGAGUAACCUGCCCUUGACUCUGGGAUAAGCCUGGGAAACUGGGUCUAAUACUGGAUACGACAUGUCACCGCAUGGCGGUGUGUGGAAAGGGUUUUACUGGUUUUGGAUGGGCUCACGGCCUAUCAGCUUGUUGGUGGGGUAAUGGCUCACCAAGGCGACGACGGGUAGCCGGCCUGAGAGGGUGACCGGCCACACUGGGACUGAGACACGGCCCAGACUCCUACGGGAGGCAGCAGUGGGGAAUAUUGCACAAUGGGCGGAAGCCUGAUGCAGCGACGCCGCGUGAGGGAUGACGGCCUUCGGGUUGUAAACCUCUUUCAGCAUGGAAGAAGCGAAAGUGACGGUACGUGCAGAAGAAGCGCCGGCUAACUACGUG